AUUACUAAGUUAGUGUGUUGUAAAGAAGAAAGUUAUCUUAGAUAGCCUUUGAUCAUGACGCUGUACCUUGGUUUUUUCCUGAUUAAAUAGCAGACUCCGGCCAAUAUAUGCCGAAAAGGCAAGUUUUUUUGAUGUUAUAUAGGAAAAGUCAAAUGUCUGACAAAAUGAAAGGUCAAGUUAAGUGGUUCAACGAGUCUAAAGGCUUCGGUUUCAUCACUCCUGCUGAUGGUAGCAAAGACGUUUUCGUCCACUUCUCUGCCAUUCAAGGCGCUGGUUUUAAAACUCUGGCUGAAGGCCAACAAGUUGAAUUCACCAUUGAAAAUGGUGCUAAAGGUCCAGCAGCAGCUAACGUAACUGCAAUCUAAGUUAAUUACUUAACUGAUUUCUAAAGCCCGUCAUUUUUAAUGACGGGCUUUUUC
rnacentral:sRNA from 1 species